UCGGGGUAUGGCUCAGCUUGGCUAGAGCGCCUGGUUUGGGACCAGGAGGUCGCAGGUUCGAAUCCUGUUACCCCGAU
rnacentral:tRNA from 1 species